GCUGUGAGAAAACCCUAAUUCGUUCUUGAGCGAUUCUAAGUGAUUUUGUGUGCUAAUUGUGAAGGCUUGAAGAAGGAGAAGAAGAAAGGAGCAAGGAGAAGGAUUGUAGAGCAGAGAUUCAAGGGAAAGCAACAGCUCUUUGAGCCGGGGAGAUACCGGAGCAGCAGCAGCUAGCUUCCAGAGCCAUACACUCAGCAGCCAGUUCACGAGGUACUUCCGCUUGUAGAGGGAAGAGCUCGGGAUGAUGGCAUCGCACACACCACAGCUUCAGCUUUUAUCCUGGGAGUUGAUUUGGUUCUUGAUUUUUAUAUGACAUGGAUAUGAUACAGUUUUCCGCACAGUGUUUUUAUUAUUAUUUUGAGAUACAUCAUGUAUGGUUUAUGAUAUGACACUCAGAUUAUGGUUUUUGGUUAUGUUGAAAAACGAAAUUUUUGGGUCG